ensembl:lncRNA
UGAUUAUACUUGACUCUUACUUCUUCAGGGAUGGGGAAUGGAUCGACUCAGAGCUAUCUGCCUACAGGUAUUUGUUGAUAGUAGUUAAGUGCAUAUGGUAGGGUGGGGACCACAAGAGAGAGCCUGAGUUGUUCAAAUAAUGUUUAUUGAGCUGUUGCUUUUUGCAAACCACUGUAUUCUACAGAAGUUUACAUUCAAGUGGGGAACAAAGGAGAUACGUAGUUAUAUAGAGAUAUAUAAGCUUUUUGACUUUCCGACAAGAAAAAAAAUCCUUCAGUAACCCGCUGAUUAAUUGUGCAGAAAUCUGCUGGGUUUAUAGGUUAUAGGUUUAUUAAAUUGCAGUGAGAAAUUGUAUAUUUGGAAUAUUUGGAACCUGACUUGUUUCAGCACAAAAGUGGGCUCUGUCUGCAUGCCCUUCCUGGUGUUGCUGUGAUGGAAGGAUUACCAUGUCUUUUGACCCCAGGGCCAAUGCACUGCCUCAUCCAUCGUGAGGCCCCUGGGAGAGCCUUGCUGUAGCUCCUCAGAUGGUUCUGAUUGGCAACCACCUGUGGGUGAGCCGGGCCCAGCCCCACACACCACACCUUGCUGUGACACCUGGAGACCAUUGAGGUGUAGAACAGCCUGGAAGGAGGAGGUUCCAGCUUCACAGUGUGGAUGCCGACCGCAAUUUAGGGAACACAGGCCCUUCUCUCUCCUGGAAAGACCAGGGUCAUCUGGCCAGAACUCCACCAGUGAACUCCAGUCUCCAAAGCAAGGCUCUUGGGGUCUUAUUCACUUCAUUAAUAUUUAAUCGAAGAAUCAUACUGAGCUAUUUCCAGACUCUGAGUGGAGGGAACAUGGUACUGCCUUCCCAGUGGAAUUCUGAUUAAUGCACCAUCUCUGUGGUCCCUGAGGAUCACCAACUUCCUCAUCCCCCAACUAUACAUAUUUAUUCUGUGGAGAGGGAGGCAGAAAGUUGGAGAAAGUGGCCUUUCAGAGACGGACUCAGUGAGCAUGACCCAAUUAAUAACAGUAAGACAGAGGCAGCUGGGAAGGUGCAUGGUGUAGGCUCUUCCUGCACCCGGGCACUGGACAGACACUGGAGGACAGAUAUGUGCCGGCUGAGAUCUCAUCCAGUAGGGAUGAAGAAACUGAAGCAUGCAGAGGUUAGUGACUUGCCCAAGGUCACAUGGUUGGAGAAUUCAUGGUUCAAAUCCAGGAACUGAAGAUGAUCAUGUCCUCUCUAGUUUUCUGGAGUGUAAAAAUCAGACACUGUGUGAUUCUUCAGAUGAAAAAGAAAACUGCUCUUACGCUAACAAGGAGGUUGGAAUAUGUGUCUUGCGCCUUAGAAAGCAUGGAAAGCAAAUAGUCAUGAAGAAAUAGAAAAUUAGGAAGACAAAUCAAUCAACUCCCUUGUCUCAUUAAAAAAUAAAGUCAGUCUUCCUUUCUCUUUUUGUGACACAUUUACUGAAAGUUUAGACAAAAGUUUAUCAAGGAAUAAUGAGAGGACAUUUUCUCUUUAGUUCCAACAGAUCAAAGAAUAUACAUUAUGAAAACAAAAGAAGUCUGGUUCUGUCUGAGUUGGGGUGAAAAGCUUAAAGGACCUGAAGAGGCAUUUAUACUGUGUGUAUGAGAUACAGAAAGGGUACGUGGGGACAGGUCAUUAAAUUUUACUGUAGAUUGUGAAGUCUUCCCUACCUGCUUUGCAGAUUUCGGUGAAGUCUUAAGU